rnacentral:rRNA from 1 species
GUGGGGAAUUUUGGACAAUGGGCGCAAGCCUGAUCCAGCAAUGCCGCGUGCAGGAAGAAGGCCUUCGGGUUGUAAACUGCUUUUGUACGGAACGAAACGGUCCUGGCUAAUAUCCGGGGCUAAUGACGGUACCGUAAGAAUAAGCACCGGCUAACUACGUGCCAGCAGCCGCGGUAAUACGUAGGGUGCAAGCGUUAAUCGGAAUUACUGGGCGUAAAGCGUGCGCAGGCGGUUUUGUAAGACAGACGUGAAAUCCCCGGGCUCAACCUGGGAAUGGCGUUAGUGACUGCAAAGCUGGAGUGCGGCAGAGGGGGAUGGAAUUCCGCGUGUAGCAGUGAAAUGCGUAGAUAUGCGGAGGAACACCGAUGGCGAAGGCAAUCCCCUGGGCCUGCACUGACGCUCAUGCACGAAAGCGUGGGGAGCAAACAGGAUUAGAUACCCUUGUAGUCC